rnacentral:tRNA from 1 species
GCCUUUGUGGUGUAACGGUAGCACAUUCGGUUGGUAUUCGAGAGACCCGGGGUUCGAGUCGUGCCAAGGGCA